rnacentral:rRNA from 1 species
GACGAAUGCUGGCGGCGUGCUUAACACAUGCAAGUCGAACGGAAAGGCCCUGCUUGCAGGGUCCUCGAGUGGCGAACGGGUGAGUAACACGUGGGUGAUCUGCCCUGCACUUCGGGAUAAGCCUGGGAAACUGGGUCUAAUACCGGAUAGGAGCCAUUUUUAGUGUGAUGGUUGGAAAGUUUUUUCGGUGUAGGAUGAGCUCGCGGCCUAUCAGCUUGUUGGUGGGGUAAUGGCCUACCAAGGCGGCGACGGGUAGCCGGCCUGAGAGGGUGGACGGCCACAUUGGGACUGAGAUACGGCCCAGACUCCUACGGGAGGCAGCAGUGGGGAAUAUUGCACAAUGGGCGCAAGCCUGAUGCAGCGACGCCGCGUGGGGGAUGACGGCCUUCGGGUUGUAAACUCCUUUCGCUAGGGACGAAGCUUUUGUGACGGUACCUGGAUAAGAAGCACCGGCUAACUACGUG